GGGCGGGUUCGCCCGCCACCAGGACCACACCAUAAACCUUUUUUGUUUAAUGCAUUCAGCGUCAGUAUAACAAAUGUAAAUCAUUUACAACUUUCAACAACGGAUCUCUUGGUUCUGGCAUCGAUGAAGAACGCAGCGAAAUGCGAUACGUAGUGUGAAUUGCAGAAUUCAGUGAAUCAUCGAAUCUUUGAACGCACAUUGCGCCCUUUGGUAUUCCAAAGGGCAUGCCUGUUCGAGCGUCAUUUGUACCCUCAAGCUUUGCUUGGUGUUGGGCGUCUUGUCUUUGUUCUCCAAAGACUCGCCUUAAAACGAUUGGCAGCCGGCCUCCUGGUUUCGCAGCGCAGCACAAUUUUGCGCUUGCAAUCAGCAACAGAGGUUGGCACUCCAUCAAGACUUUUUUUCUUACGUUUGACCUCGGAUCAGGUAGGGAUACCCGCUGAACUUAAGCAUA
rnacentral:rRNA from 1 species